rnacentral:rRNA from 1 species
GACGAACGCUGGCGGCGUGCUUAACACAUGCAAGUCGUACGGUAAGGCCCUUUCGGGGGUACACGAGUGGCGAACGGGUGAGUAACACGUGAGUAACCUGCCCACAACUUUGGGAUAACGCUAGGAAACUGGUGCUAAUACUGGAUAUGUGCUCCUGCUGCAUGGUGGGGGUUGGAAAGCUCCGGCGGUUGUGGAUGGACUCGCGGCCUAUCAGCUUGUUGGUGGGGUAGUGGCCUACCAAGUCGGCGACGGGUAGCCGGCCUGAGAGGGUGACCGGCCACAUUGGGACUGAGAUACGGCCCAGACUCCUACGGGAGGCAGCAGUGGGGAAUAUUGCACAAUGGGCGCAAGCCUGAUGCAGCAACGCCGCGUGCGGGAUGACGGCCUUCGGGUUGUAAACCGCUUUCAGCAGGGACGAAGCUUUUUGUGACGGUACCUGCAGAAGAAGCACCGGCUAACUACGUG